UACGUAGGGGGCUAGCGUUGUCCGGAAUCAUUGGGCGUAAAGAGCGUGUAGGCGGCCCGGUAAGUCCGCUGUAAAAGUCAAAGGCUCAACCUUUGAAUGUCAGUGGAUACUGCCGGGCUAGAGUCCGGAAGAGGCGAGUGGAACUCCUGGUGUAGCGGUGGAAUGCGCAGAUAUCAGGAGGAACACCUGUGGUGUAGACGGCUUUCUGGACCAUAGCUGACGCUGAGACACGAAAGCGUGGGUAGCAAACAGG
rnacentral:rRNA from 1 species